UACGUACUGGGCAAACGUUAUUCGGAAUCACUGGGCUUAAAGGGUGCGUAGGCGGCUAUUCAGGUCUGGUGUGAAAUCUUACGGCUCAACCGUAAAAUGGCGCUGGAAACCGGAUGGCUUGAGUAGGCUAGGGGUGUGUGGAACUUCCUGUGGAGCGGUGAAAUGUGUUGAUAUGGGAAGGAACGCCGGUGGCGAAAGCGACACACUGGGGCCUAACUGACGCUGAGGCACGAAAGCUAGGGUAGCGAACGGG
rnacentral:misc_RNA from 1 species